GGGCGUGUAGCUCAGUUGGUUAGAGCGCAUCCCUGAUAAGGAUGAGGUCGCUGGUUCAACUCCAGCCACGCCCACCA
rnacentral:tRNA from 1 species